CAAACCUUCAAGAAAAUCUGCUCAUGCAUAAUCCCAGUGGGCAGCUGCCUUGAUUAAUAGAGGCAACACAGUUUCACCCAGGCUCAAGCAUACACACGGUAUGUGGGCUUUCUCCUGCCACUUGCAUGCCAAGGGCUUUUGAAAGCAAUACUCAAUGAUGUCUUACAUCAAGGUACUGAAGUGGAAGUGCCUAAGAGAGUGUUCUUAAACAAUGUGAAAAUGUUACAGCAUGUUGGUGGAUACAAACCUUUGUCCUUCCAUCGAGCUGUCUGGCAAAGCACGGCGCAGAGGACAGCAAAC